CCAGUGAUGUACUGUGUCGUACACACCACCCUCUGCAGUGCCUUGUGGUCAGAGGCCAAGCAGUUGCCAUACCAGGCAGUGAUGCAACCAGUAGGAUGCUCUCGAUGGGGCAGCUACAGCACUUUUUGAGGAACUGAGGACCCAUGUCAAAUACUUUCAGUCUCCUGAGAGGGAGACUACUGUCUUGAUGUGUUUGGACCAAUGCACAAUACAUUUAAAUGAAAAAAAUGUAAUCGACUAGGUGGACGUAAUCAACUGUGAGGAUAUAAUACAUUCCAAUGGACAAAGCCAGUGGUACAAAAAAGCCAACAUAGUCCUUUCCCUUUACUCAACAAACCAUAAAUCACUGAUAAAUUGAAUAAGGUGCAUUACUGCUUGGCUAGAAUCAAAAUGUGCACAAUUUAGAAACACAAUGACCCAAUAAAAGGCUUGUCCAGCUGGCAUGCCUCACCUGCACUCCCGAGUGACCGUCUCCAGCGAGAUCCUCCACAGGUGAAGAUGACCGCCCGGAUGAACUCCCGGCCACAUAGCUUCACUCCAUACAUGGGGCGCUCCAUCCCCUGCACCCCAGCCACUAACAGACACACAGCUAAUACCAGUGGUUUCCACAUCAUGUCCCAGGAGGUAAAUGAACGAGUGAGCAAAAAAGGAGGAGAGAGGAUAGAUUCUUCAAUGGUAGACUGGGCUGUUUGGAGCAGGUGUUUUUCUCUGUCUCUCUGUGGUCGUGAGUGUUGUGUGACUUCCCCAGUGACCUGGUAUUGGUUUAUAAAUGGGUCCUCAGCCAUACGAUGUAGACAUGGAACUUGCACAUGCACACCCUCCCAACCAGGACAGUCAUAGAUAGGAGAGAGAGAUAGACCCAGAGACCUUUAUGGAGACAAAGCACUGACCAAAGGUGGCAUAAUUAGCCAAUACUGCUCAAAACGCGACGAUGAUGUCAGAGUAGUUUGUAAUCUGAUUACAGAAAAACACAUUUUCUGGAUGUCAAACCCACGUUUCAUUUGAAUCCUCACCUACACCUUUUUUGUGGUCAUCACCCACCUCAAACUCACUUGAUCACCAGACAUUUCUGCUCAUGCAAAGCAAGUGUUAAUGUGCAGAGCCACGGUGUAGUGGUAACACUCCCUAACACAUGUUACAUACAAAUCACAUCCGGAGACCAGGAUUCAAUACCUGUGUCCACCCUUCCCACUGUUUCCCUUCCCACUGUUUCCCUUCCCACUGUGUCCACCCUUCCCACUGUUUCUCCCUCUUGUUUAUUUCCUCACUAUCUGAAUAAAGUGUCAAAACACCUUAAAAAUACAUAUUUAAACUUGAUCAAAUCUUCUACAGAGGUACAGUAGGAAUGUUGGGUAUGAUGACAGUUCAGAAGUGUGAUGCCAACGUGUCAAAAUGUCGGUAUCAAGAACAUGUUUUCUCAAACACAAAUACCCAGUUUAGUACAUACAGUAUACUACAAAUGUACAUGUGUGCUACAUUUCAGUAGUGGAAGAUCCAGCCUACCGACGGAGGAGGAGCUGUGACUGCGGACGACGACGAGGUGCCCGUUGAGGUGUUCCAUGGCCUGUCUGUCAGAUGUCUCUACAUCUAUCCUCCUCCUCUCAAGAUAUUACCUUUCUGAACUGCCUAUCUUCUAAAGUUGACCAUCGCCAACAUACUGACAGAUCCCUACCUUUGUUUUGUUAAAUAGUUUCUGGUUACAUUUUGUUUUCAAAGUGACUUUGAGAUUCUGCUUGUAAUGAAAAGCACUAAAUAAAAUAUAUAUUUUUAUUAUUAUAUAGAACUUACUUUCAAGUAAAACUUAAACUCUUCUCCUAUACCACUUCACACCUUUUCAGUGUUGACUCUGUAACCCCAGCUCUGAUUAUUCUCCCAUGACUUGCUUCUCCCCUCAUAUUUCUCCAUCUCUCUCUCUCUGAAAAAAAGAGGGAUGAAGUCACAGGUGGGGGGUUCACACAUCAAGGAGUAGGGGGUGCGUGCGACGGAAUGAGGCAAAGCGGGUGACAUUUUCAAAGGCAGAUAACAUGGAAGUCAUCAUCUGAGUCAAACAAAGACUGGGACCCUAUCUGUGUCAACGCAUAGUAGUGGAAGAUCCAGCCUACCGACGGAGGAGGAGCUGUGACUGCGGACGACGACGAGGUGCCCGUUGAGGUGUUCCAUGGCCUGUCUGUCAGAUGUCUCUACAUCUAUGCUCCUCCUCCGUCGGUAGUGGUGAGUGACCAGGGGUGAUGGUCAGAUUCGUGUUACAACGAGGAAUGAGUGUUACACCGAGUCCUGUGCUCU